CCUACGGGAGGCUGCAGUAGGGAAUAUUGCUCAAUGGGGGAAACCCUGAAGCAGCAACGCCGCGUGGAGGAUGAAGGUUUUCGGAUUGUAAACCCCUUUUGUUAGAGAAGAUAAUGACGGUAUCUAACGAAUAAGCCCCGGCUAACUACGUGCCAGCAGCCGCGGUAAUACGGAGGGUGCAAGCGUUAUCCGGAAUCACUGGGCGUAAAGAGCGCGUAGGCGGGAUAGCAAGUCAGAUGUGAAAGCCUAUGGCUUAACCAUGGAACUGCAUUUGAAACUGUUAGUCUAGAGUAUGGGAGAGGUAGGUGGAAUACUUGGUGUAGGGGUAAAAUGCGUAGAGAUCAAGAGGAAUACUCAUGGCGAAGGCGACCUGCUAGAACGUAACUGACGCUGAUGCGCGAAAGCGUGGGGAGCAAACAGGAUUAGAUACCCUUGUAGUC
rnacentral:rRNA from 1 species